GAAACUCGAACUGCACGAGGAGGAGGAGGAAGAAGAAGAAGCUGGCUUGGCACCUGUGAUGACCACUCGGCUAAGCUUGGGAAUGCUUCGACUCGCCGUUCCUCUGUUGGUUCUGACAUUGCUGGUGGCUCCGACAACCGCGCGAGCGAUGAAACCGUGGUUCCGUCGCUGCCUGCUUUCCAAUCGUCUGGUGUGCGUCUCUCUGCUGAGGCAGCCGGACGCCUGCCGUGUCAACGCCGACGGCACGGACGACUGCCCCGCCGGACUCAUGUGCUGCGAGGAGACACGAUGCGGCGACAGGCGAUGCGUGCGACAGCAGCUCGUCUGACCAGCGACACCUGCCUGACCCCGUCCGUGUCGUCAAGCGUACGUCACUCGAUCUCGUCCGAGAGCCCCCGAUAGGUGGCGCCACAACCGCGAUGGCGUCGCCCCCUGUGGUCGAGGACAGGUUUUGCGCUUGCCACGCCCCCUAUGUUCAACAGUGGCAAUGCUUCGGUGGUCUCGAAGACUUUACCAACGCCCGUCGGCGUCAGCCUCGCCGGCUCGGAAGUGCCUUUUGGUCGUGUAGAUUUCUUUCUCGGGAUGAAUCCUAGGGCUGCGUGGGGACACUUACACGAGAAGGCACACAUAGUGGUACCGUGCUACGAGUUAUCUCAAGUCGAUAUCAGUGACCACAUUGACCCACAGCAGCACGACGUCGUCGCGCUAUCCACAUCAAAUUGCAGGUUUGCGUUGUGCUUGUUCAAUUCGGGCGUUAAUUAAAAAAAAUUGAUAAAUUGCGA